GUUGAACGCUAGCGGGAGGCCUAACACAUGCAAGCCGAGCGGUAGUUCUUCUUCGGGAGAGAUAGAGCGGCGUACGGGUGCGGAACACGUGUGCAACCUUCCUUUAUCUAGUGGAUAGCCUUUCGAAAGGACGAUUAAUACUCUAUAAUAUAUUAAUUGGCAUCAAUUGAUAUUGAAAACUCCGGUGGAUAGAGAUGGGCACGCGCAAGAUUAGCUAGUUGGUGAGGUAACGGCUCACCAAGGCAAUUAUCUUUAGGGGGCCUGAGAGGGUGAUCCCCCACACUGGUACUGAGACACGGACCAGACUCCUACGGGAGGUAGCAGUGAGGAAUAUUGGUCAAUGGGUGCAAGCCUAAACCAGCCAUCCCGCGUGAAGGAUUAAGGUCCUAUGGAUUGUAAACUUCUUUUGUAUAGGGAUAAACCUACCCUCGUGAGGGUAGCUGAAGGUACUAUACGAAUAAGCACCGGCUAACUCCGUGCCAGCCGCCGCCGUAAAAC
rnacentral:rRNA from 1 species